CCCUUAGAUGUUCUGGGCCGCACGCGCGCUACACUGAUGCAUUCAACGAGCCUAUCCUUGACCGACAGGUCCGGGUAAUCUUUGAAUCUGCAUCGUGACGGGGAUAGAUUAUUGCAAUUAUUAAUCUUCAACGAGGAAUGCCUAGUAGGCGCAAGUCAUCAGCUUGCGUCGAUUACGUCCCUGCCCUUUGUACACACCGCCUGUCGCUCCUACCGAUUGGGUGUGCUGGUGAAAUGUUCGGAUCGGCCGUUUGUCGCGGUUUCCGCGUCAUGUGGCUGAGAAGUUCAUUAAACCCUCCCACCUAGAGGAAGGAGAAGUCGUAACA
rnacentral:rRNA from 1 species